rnacentral:snoRNA from 1 species
CGUGGUGGUGGUUUCUUUUUGGCGCACUUGUUCAGUUUCCAAGUGGGCCUGACUCUGCCACAUACAUGACACUGGAGCUGGCGAGGCUUGUGACCGAGGCGUCUCUCAAGCUCUCUCUGCACCACAUGGGCUCCCACACGU